AGUGAACGUUGGCGGUAGGCCUAACACAUGCAAGUCGAACGGCAGCACAGUAAGAGCUUGCUCUUACGGGUGGCGAGUGGCGGACGAGUGAGGAAUACAUCGGAAUCUACUUUUUCGUGGGGGAUAACGUAGGGAAACUUACGCUAAUACCGCAUACGACCUACGGGUGAAAGCAGGGGAUCUUCGGACCUUGCGCGAUUGAAUGAGCCGAUGUCGGAUUAGCUAGUUGGCGGGGUAAAGGCCCACCAAGGCGAUGAUCCGUAGCUGGUCUGAGAGGAUGAUCAGCCACACUGGAACUGAGACACGGUCCAGACUCCUACGGGAGGCAGCAGUGGGGAAUAUUGGACAAUGGGCGCAAGCCUGAUCCAGCCAUACCGCGUGGGUGAAGAAGGCCUUCGGGUUGUAAAGCCCUUUUGUUGGGAAAGAAAAGCAGCAGGUUAAUACCCCGCUGUUCUGACGGUACCCAAAGAAUAAGCACCGGCUAACUUCGUG
rnacentral:rRNA from 1 species